rnacentral:rRNA from 1 species
GAUGAACGCUGGCGGCGUGCCUAAUACAUGCAAGUCGAGCGGUAAGGCCCUUCGGGGUACACGAGCGGCGGACGGCUGAGUAACACGUAGGAACGUACCCCAAAGUGAGGGAUAAGCACCAGAAAUGGUGUCUAAUACCGCAUGUGCUCCAUGGAGUAAAGCUUUAUGCGCUUUGGGAACGGCCUGCGUCCGAUUAGCUAGUUGGCGGUUUAAUAGACCACCAAGGCAACGAUCGGUAGCUGGUCUGAGAGGAUGAUCAGCCAGACUGGGACUGAGACACGGCCCAGACUCCUACGGGAGGCAGCAGUAGGGAAUUUUCCACAAUGGGCGCAAGCCUGAUGCAGCGACGCCGCGUGAGGGAUGACGGCCUUCGGGUUGUAAACCUCUUUCAGCACCGACGAAGCGCAAGUGACGGUAGGUGCAGAAGAAGGACCGGCCAACUACGUGCCAGCAGCCGCAGUAA